AUUGAACGCUGGCGGCAGGCCUAACACAUGCAAGUCGAACGAGUGGCGGACGGGUGAGUAAUGUCUGGGAAACUGCCCGAUGGAUGGGGAUAACUACUGGAAACGGUAGCUAAUACCGCAUACCAUCGGAUGUGCCCAGAUGGGCUUAGCUAGUUGGUGGGGUAACGGCUCACCUAGGCGACUGUACCUAGCUGGUCUGAGAGUAUGACCAGCCAACAUGGAACUGGGACACGGGCCAGACUCCUACGGUAGGCAGCAGUGGGGAAUAUUGCACAAUGGGCGCAAGCCUGAUGCAGCCAUGCCGCGUGUAUGAAGAAGGCCUUCGGGUUGUAAAGUACUUUCAGCGGGGAGGCGUUACCCGCAGAAGAAGCACCGGCUAACUCCGUGCCAGCAGCCGCGGUAAUUC
rnacentral:rRNA from 1 species